rfam:Candidate division KSB1 4572_119 ex4572_119_scaffold_14796, whole genome shotgun sequence.
GCCGAGGUGGUGAAAUUGGUAGACGCACUGGAUUCAAAAUCCAGCGGAGCUUGCUCUGUGCGGGUUCGAUUCCCGCCCUCGGCA